GUGUCAGCAGCCGCGGUAAUACGGAGGGGGCGAGCGUUAUUCGGAAUUACUGGGCGUAAAGCGCGCGUAGGUGGUGCGGUAAGUGGCAGGUGAAAGCCCUCGGCUCAACCGAGGAACUGCCUGCCAAACUGCUGUGCUUGAGGCCGGGAGGGGGAAGCGGAAUUCCUGGUGUAGCGGUGAAAUGCGUAGAUACCAGGAGGAACACCGGUGGCGAAGGCGGCUUCCUGGACCGGUUCUGACACUCAUGCGCGAAAGCGUGGGGAGCAAACAGGAUUAGAUACCCUCGUAGUCC
rnacentral:rRNA from 1 species